AUUGAACGCUGGCGGAAUGCUUUACACAUGCAAGUCGAGCGGCAGCGCGGGGCAACCUGGCGGCGAGCGGCGAACGGGUGAGUAAUGCAUCGGAACGUACCCCGUCGUGGGGGAUAACUACCCGAAAGGGUAGCUAAUACCGCAUACGACCUGAGGGUGAAAGCGGGGGACCGAAAGGCCUCGCGCGAUGGGAGCGGCCGAUGCCGGAUUAGCUAGUUGGUAGGGUAAAGGCCUACCAAGGCGACGAUCCGUAGCUGGUCUGAGAGGACGACCAGCCACACUGGAACUGAGACACGGUCCAGACUCCUACGGGAGGCAGCAGUGGGGAAUUUUGGACAAUGGGCGAAAGCCUGAUCCAGCCAUUCCGCGUGAGUGAAGAAGGCCUCGGUUGUAAG
rnacentral:rRNA from 1 species